GGUCCCAUUCCGAACCCGGAAGCUAAGCCCACCUGCGCCGAUGGUACUGCACUCGUGAGGGUGUGGGAGAGUAGGACGCCGCCGGAC
rnacentral:rRNA from 1 species